rnacentral:lncRNA from 1 species
UUUUGAACAUUUGAAAAAAUAAUAGUGACACAGAUAUAAAGAAGAGGAGAAAAGAAUAGGCAGUCGUUAAUCCAGAAAAACAAAACUAUUCUGGAAAACAAGAAUUAGAAUCUUGAUGUACAACUUUGCUUAUGAUAGGAAAUAACAUUCAUUCAUAAUAAGGUAUGUGUUGACUAUUCUUUUAGUGAAAGUUGAAAUAGAACUGUGUUGAGAGGGUGAAGGAGUAGAGAAUGGGUGGGGAUAUUUAGAGAUAAUUAAAUCCUCAACUACUGUACUGGGAAGUCAAGUGCUAAUAUCUAAAAUAGAUAUUUCAUGGGGCGCCUAGGUGGCUCAGUUGGCUAAAUGUCUGCCUUCAGCUCAGCUCAUGAUCCCAGGGGUUUGUGAUCGAGCCCCACAUGGGGCUCUCCACUCCGUGAGGAGUCUGCCUCUCCCUUUCACUCUUCCUCUGAGCUGUCUCUCAAAUAAAUAAAUAAAAUCUUUAAAAAAUAGAUUUUUGAGGAAAUAUCUGUGUAAGCGUAUUACUUAGAAAUAUAUGAGCAGGUACUUGAAGAAAGAACUUCUGGGGGUGCUUUUGGGUAUUGGGUUUUGGGGGGGACAAGGCACUGCUUUUCCAUUUAUUAUAAGCUUUCCAGUACUGUAUUGUUUUUUUUUUAAUUUAUUUUUUAUUGGUGUUCAAUUUGCCAACAUAUAGAAUAACACCCAGUUCUGGCACCUAUAUUUCUGAUUGUGUUUUCAUAGGAUCAAGAAAGUGGAAAUCCUUUAGUGCAGGAUUUUUCAGAACUCUGGUCUUCUGAAGCUUUUUCAAGGUAAAAUUGCUAGGCUCUGCCUUCGUCUUAUUUCUCCUUUUCUUUAUUACUGUAUCCUCUUUACUAAGCUCCAUCUUAAUCUGUAUUAUAUAUGUGGCAAGGCAGAUGUCUUCAGUAAGUUGGUUAACUGUGGUUGGAAAAGCUGUAUCCUGUCCUUCACCAUCCACCAUCCACUUUCCACUUCAUUGGAGAGUCAAAUGGGACAAAUCAAACUAUGCAGGGAGGUGUUUGGUUUUUGGUGGUCAUGAAGGGAUACACUGUGAUGCAUGGAAGUGGUUUCCCUUGUACAGAGAGAUGAAGAAAAUGGGGUAACGAAUGAUAAAGAACAUGUUUGCCAGCCUUUUAUUAGCAGUUUUAAAGGAGACAAAAAUGUGAAGUCAUGCAAAUGUGACUUCUUGAAGAACUUCAUUAGCAUCACCCAGAAGCUAUAGUUUACAAUAAAUGGCCACCGGGGGCCCCCACAGGUCAUGGCUCAUGGCCAGCUCCUUGCAAUUGAAGUGAUGCUUACUGUAAGGCGAGUCCCCUGGACACGAUGUAUGAGGUGUGGAUGACAGUACAUUAUCUAAGCCAAUUGCGCUGUAGUGAU